rnacentral:tRNA from 1 species
GGAAGCGUAUCGAAGUGGUCAUAACGAGCCUGACUCGAAAUCAGGUAUAGGGCAACCUAUCGUGGGUUCGAAUCCCACCGCUUCCGCCA